rnacentral:rRNA from 1 species
GACGAACGCUGGCGGCGUGCUUAACACAUGCAAGUCGAACGGAGAACCGCUUCGGUGGGUAUCAGUGCGUAACGGGUGCGUAAGACUUGAACAACCGGCCCCCGGCCCUGAGAUACCGCCAAGACAUUGGGACUAAUGCCGGAUCUGCACCGCAUCCCGCGCGGCUCGUGGUGAAAUGGUUAGGCGGCGGGGGAUGGGCACGCGGCGUAGCAGCUUGUCUGUGGGGUAGGGGCGUACCAAGGCAGAGACGGGUAGCCGGCCUGAGAGGGUGACCGGCCACACUGGGACUGAGACACGGCCCAGUCUCCUACGGGAGGCAGCAGUGGGGAAUAUUACGCAAUGGGCGGAAGCCUGACGCAGCGACGCCGCGUGCGGGAUGACGGGCUACGGGUUGUAAACCGCUUUCAACAGGGACGAAGCGCAAGUGACGGUACCUGCAGAAGAAGCACCGGCUAACUACGUG